GGACAGUUGGCAGAGUGGUAAUGCAGCGGCUUGCUAAGCCGUAGAACCGCAAGGUUCCGUGAGUUCGAUCCUCACACUGUCCGCCA
rnacentral:tRNA from 1 species